CGCAUUGUUUUGUUUGAAGGGUCGACCUCUUAGUGUACAGCAGCAGAUGAUGCAACAGUCUCGUCAGCUUGAUCCAAGCCUGCUGGUGAAGCAGCAGACUCCGCCUUCUCAGCAGCCGCUCCAUCAGCCAGCCAUGAAGUCCUUCCUUGACAAUGUCAUGCCCCACACUACACCCGAGCUACAGAAAGGGCCAUCGCCAGUAAACGCUUUCAGCAGCUUCCCUAUAGGUGAGUUCCUGCUUGGCCACCAUGCACAUGUGCCUUCACUGCCUUUGCAGCUUUGUCCUUGAGCACAGCACCAGGCUUAGACGCCCCUCAUUGGAGAGUAGCACACUUUCCUCUGGAUUAAGUCAUCUUCAUGUGUCAGAAUGUUCUACCUAUUGGAAGGAACAGACUAAAGGACACACUCAUUUUCAGACUCAGACUGUAGGAUGCGCAGGGGCAGGAAGACGCAUGAUAGUGUUGUGAGGAAGAGAGGUGGUAUGCAGGCACUGCUCUGUGGAAAAUACUAGAAAUAGUCCCGUUAUGUUGUCACUUGUCUUAGGAGAACAGGUAUGAAGAGAAAUUGUCUUUCAUUUUUUCCAUUGUAUAACCAGGCUUUUCAUUCAUUGAGGAAAUUUAAGGCUUGUGUGUUUUCUCUUCCC
rnacentral:lncRNA from 1 species